rfam:Castellaniella defragrans 65Phen complete genome
AUCCUUACCCCAUGUUCGUCGGUGUUGCCGACACAUGCCCAGGCAGCCGAGACCUUCGAGGCUGCAAGCACGGGAAGCCGUGCUGGUCGUUUCUUCCUACGGACGCACCGCGUCCAUCUACCCACAAGGGACCUCUCCCUUGCGGGCGG